rnacentral:rRNA from 1 species
UACGUAGGGGGCAAGCGUUGUCCGGAUUUAUUGGGCGUAAAGAGCGUGUAGGCGGCUUGGUAGGUCCGCUGUGAAAACUCGAGGCUCAACCUCGAGACGCCGGUGGAAACCAUCAGGCUAGAGUCCGGAAGAGGAGAGUGGAAUUCCUGGUGUAGCGGUGAAAUGCGCAGAUAUCAGGAGGAACACCGGUGGCGAAGGCGGCUUCCUGGACACUUACUGACGCUGAGACGCGAAAGCGUGGGGAGCAAACAGG